GUUAUAUUAUCGAUAAGAAUGAUCGUGUGAUAUUUUAAUCUGGAUAAUCGUAUUACUUGAAAAGAGACGAAUAAUUGAUCGAAGAAGAGCCAAACGAGUUCCACGCGUUUAUCUGCAUGAUACGAAAAGCCCAGCAAUAGCGUGUAGUGAGCACCAAAUAACGGUACCAGUACCAGAGUAGAUUUGGCCCACUUACUAUGUUUGGAAAAAAAAAAGAAAAAAUUAAUAAACUUUAUAACAAUUAUAAUCAUCUAUAUGUACUGACGUUUUGAAUUUAAUGAACAGAACACGUACUAUGUUGAGGAACAGUAGGAAGUUGAACUGAAUAAGAUUUAUUUGAUUUUAUUCGCUGAUUCGACGCUCGUCAAAGUCAUGCGAGAAUCACUUACCAAAUUUGAUAUCAUAAUGGGAAUCCUUAUAAGCAGAAAUAGAGAAGGAUUGUUGUGAGUAGUCCAGCAAAACGUAUCCUCGAUAAUGGCGCGAAUUAUUAUCCAAGGUACAACCACGAAAACAGUUCGGCUGAUAUCAUCGAUGAAGAUCCAAUCUCUGACCAAUGUCAUGAACGCUCUCAUUAUGAACGAGGCGAACAAGUGCAUGUGCAAUCUGUUCCUUGGAUUUCUCAGUUUUCUAAGAAGGAAGAGAGUAUCAAUCGUAAAUUAAUUUACGAGUCAGUAUUACAAUAUUGGACGAAGAAGAGAGAGAGAGAGAGAGAAAGAAACGUACCUGAGCAACGAGAAAAUGAUCAUUGCUGUGAUCAACAUAGCGAAGGACGUGGAAUAUCCAAUUUGAGAGACGAUCCUGACGAUAGGUAACCAUUUCUGACGAGAGGUGAAAAUUCGAUUCAGGACGAUUGAUUUAAAAAAAAAAAAAAAUAAUAACAGAACAGGAUCUUUAAAAAAAAAUUCCUUACGUUCAACAAGGAUUCAAAGUUUUUGUAAUCUCGAAACAAAACUAUUCUGAAUCCUAAAUUCACGAGAAGUCGAUCGAUAAACUCGUCGGACAAUUUGCACAAGCUGUAAUUGCUCUCGCGAAUAUUUUCGGAAUUUGAGCCCCACUGGCCGUUCGAAAGGCAAGUUUUCGUCGCCAUUGUUGCAACAGGUGUAUCCGAGUUUAGAGCUGAAUUGGUCGCGGGAUCUAAUUGGUUUAACGGGCCGGUUUCGGAUGGACAUGGUAAAAUGGCAAUGUCGGAAGGCUUGGUGUACGGCCAGCAAAGCAGGCCAUCAAAAUAUGGCGGGCAAUGACGAGAUUGCGACGUGAUGUUUCGAUCUGUUCGUUUGGAGAAAAAAGAAAAAAAAAAAAAAUAGGAAAAGUCAAUUUUUCCACGAGAUCUUUUUCGUUUGAAUUCAUAUAUUAUAUAAGAACAAGGAAAAUGUAUAUACCAUGAACUUACAUUCCGCCAUCAAUCCAAUGCAUUUUCGUUUCUCUUCGAGCAAAAAAUCCAUAACCGAUGCUUUGUCGAUCGUAAUUUCCGAUCCCUCGAAUUCGGCCAUUGCGAAUUAUAUAUAUAUAUAUAUAUAUAUGAUACACUUGAUUCAAAAAAAGUUUAAAAUUUCAAAAAAUACGUUUUUCCAACAAAUAAAUUCGACCGAAGAAACGGAUAGAAAACGGUAGGUGAUGCGAAUCUUUCGAAUUCUGAAAUUGAAGUGACUGAAGCUCCAGUGGAUUAGAUAGACAGGGUAUAGAAAUGUUUGCAGACGCCUCACCCUCGCUCUUCUUCCUCCUCCUACACGUACAGUCAUCCGGAGGAAGAGAGAGAGAGAGAUACGAAUCGUAAGUAGUACGAGUCGACAACGCGUCGGCCGAAAGCGUCUCUUCCAGCUAUCUCUUAUCGUAAUUUAUCAAUCCCUUCUUCCCUUUCCAAUCACGGAUACAUGAUACAUUCUAAUGUAAUGUAUUUUCUAAGUAUACGAAAAAUAAUUAUUUAUGAGGGGAAGGGACAAGCGUCGCUACUUUAUAUAUAAUUUAGAAGAUAAACGCAAUAAAGCAAAUCGAUUAAACAUGGCGUAUUAUGGUCGAUCCAUCAAAAUACGGCGAUAGUUCUGUAGCCUGUCAAUAUUGAUGAUAGAAAUAGCACGAGGAGACGAUCGAUCAUUGUACCAGAGAUCCUGGAAAUGGGUUAUAUACAUGGGACGAUGAAUGGAAAUGAAAUAACUAUUUAAAAAGAAUAAAUAAUAAUAAUGAUAAUAAUACGUGUAUCUAA